rnacentral:rRNA from 1 species
GAUGAACGCUAGCGGCAGGCCUAACACAUGCAAGUCGAGGGGCAGCACAGAAACAGCAAUGUUUUGGUGGCGACCGGCGGACGGGUGCGUAACGCGUAUGCAACCUACCUUUAACAGGGGGAUAACGGAGAGAAAUUUCCACUAAUACCCCAUAACAUCGAUCAAGGCAUCUUGAUUGGUUGAACACUCCGGUGGUUAAAGAUGGGUCUGCGUUGUAUUAGGUAGUUGGUGAGGGAAUGGCUCACCAAGCCUACGAUACAUAGGGGGACUGAGAGGUUAGCCGCCCACACUGGUACUGAGACACGGACCAGACUCCUACGGGAUGCAGCAGUGAGGAAUAUUGGUCAAUGGGGGCAACCCUGAACCAGCCAUGCCGCGUGCAGGAAGACGGCUCUAUGAGUCGUAAACUGCUUUUAAACAGGGAUAAAGCACAGUAUGUAUACUGUGUUGAAGGUACUGUAAGAAUAAGGAUCGGCUAACUCCGUGCCAGCCGCCGCGGUAA